ACGCUCGACACCUACGGGAGCAGCAGUGAGGAAUAUUGGUCAAUGGACGCAAGUCUGAACCAGCCAUGCCGCGUGCAGGAUGACGGCUCUAUGAGUUGUAAACUGCUUUUGUACGAGGGUAAACGCAGAUACGUGUAUCUGUCUGAAAGUAUCGUACGAAUAAGGAUCGGCUAACUCCGUGCCACAGCCGCGGUAAUCUGAGCGGGCUGGCAAGGC
rnacentral:rRNA from 1 species